rnacentral:rRNA from 1 species
GAUGAACGCUGGCGGCGUGCCUAAUACAUGCAAGUCGAGCGAACAGACGAGGAGCUUGCUCCUCUGACGUUAGCGGCGGACGGGUGAGUAACACGUGGAUAACCUACCUAUAAGACUGGGAUAACUUCGGGAAACCGGAGCUAAUACCGGAUAAUAUAUUGAACCGCAUGGUUCAAUAGUGAAAGACGGUUUUGCUGUCACUUAUAGAUGGAUCCGCGCCGCAUUAGCUAGUUGGUAAGGUAACGGCUUACCAAGGCAACGAUGCGUAGCCGACCUGAGAGGGUGAUCGGCCACACUGGAACUGAGACACGGUCCAGACUCCUACGGGAGGCAGCAGUAGGGAAUCUUCCGCAAUGGGCGAAAGCCUGACGGAGCAACGCCGCGUGAGUGAUGAAGGUCUUCGGAUCGUAAAACUCUGUUAUUAGGGAAGAACAAAUGUGUAAGUAACUACGCACGUCUUGACGGUACCUAAGCAGAAAACCACGGCUAACUACGU